rnacentral:piRNA from 1 species
UAGAAGACCGAGAUGUGCCCGACUGCACAGA